rnacentral:rRNA from 1 species
GACGAACGCUGGCGGCGUGCUUAACACAUGCAAGUCGAACGGUGAAGCCGGAGCUUGCUCUGGUGAAUUAGUGGCGAACGGGUGAGUAACACGUGAGUAACCUGCCCUUGACUCUGGGAUAACUGCGGGAAACUGUAGCUAAUACCGGAUACGACCCUCGGAGGCAUCUCCUGGGGGUGGAAAGAAUUUCGGUCAAGGAUGGACUCGCGGCCUAUCAGGUAGUUGGUGAGGUAAAGGCUCACCAAGGCGACGACGGGUAGCCGGCCUGAGAGGGUGACCGGCCACACUGGGACUGAGACACGGCCCAGACUCCUACGGGAGGCAGCAGUGGGGAAUAUUGCACAAUGGGCGCAAGCCUGAUGCAGCAACGCCGCGUGAGGGAUGACGGCCUUCGGGUUGUAAACCUCUUUGAGCAGGGAAGAAGCGAAAGUGACGGUACCUGCAGAAAAAGCACCGGCUAACUACGUGCCAGCCGCCGCGGUAA